UUUUCCCUGCAAAAUUGUUUGGAUUUCACGAUCAAAGCUGUGUGUUGGUUCAUCGAUUCACCAUGCUUAUCGUUGUAUUAAAUUUUUGUUUUGGAAACCACCUAAUGUAUUAAAUAUUUGUUUGGAUUGUAGUUCAUCGUAUAAUGAUCAAAUCUGGUUAUCGUUGUAUUGAUUCACCAUUUUUAUGUAGUAGCGCCGGAGUCACUAAGAUAGGAAUUUGGACCUGAUUUGGCAUGUCCUGAUUUUGGUACAGCAGCCAUUAAGAAUCUUGUUGUGCUUGAUAUUAGUCCGGUGUUACAUUACAUUAACUAGAGAAUGUCACCACUUCUGUUUUUUACUUGUAAAUGAUAAAAAUUGUUCGUAUAUUGACAUUAUAUGUGAAAUGAUUAUAUCUCUCUAUAAUUUUUUAUCAAAUUAGGGAGAUAAACUCUUGGUUGUGCCUGUGGAAAUAAUUUGCUGAUUGGUCAGACGUUAUCUUGAGCACCUGUGUGAGAGAGAUUGAACAGGAGGCACUGUGCAUCCCGCUGUGGAACGGCGACCACAGUGGCCCUCUUGCUGGUGCCGAUGCCGGACAGCGACCUGCGUCGCCGCCGCGCCAUGUGCGUUACUGCUCGGGCCUCCCUACGCUCGGACCAAGAGCUGAGAGGCAUUUGGAGCUUCGCUGCCCUGACUUAGCUGACGAACCAAGGCUGAUAGAUGCAGCUACUACUGCUCCAUGUCUUCGUUUAGUUUGUUUCUGCCAUAGGGAGGUAGACCAUCAUUUAUUUCUAGGUCUAUUUCAAGUGUUCUCUGUCUGUGAUGAUAUGCUAGUUCGUUCUUUCUUCUCUAAAUUACAAGAUGCAAUUCAAAACAUCCACACAUAGCUACUUUUGCUGAGAUGCUUUGGAAUCAAUCUCUGGUAGUACCUACUUUUUGGCGGUUCAUUUGAUUAACAAAAAUCAAGCCAGAUUUAGCUCUGCUUCUUGAACAUUUAAGUGCAUCUCAGUACAUUUGUAUGACCACCGUUGUGUCUCAUGAAAUAAAAAAGCUACCUUCUCAAGUUAUUAACUCAAGUUUCUUGUUUCUCACUUACUAACAUGGCAUGACAGUUGAUGCUUAUUAUCUUUUCAAGUAUCAUUGGUUGCAAUUCAAUGCAUUCACUUCGCUUAUUUCCUAUCUCUAUACAUGUAAUUCCUCAUAAUGGUUUCAACUUUCAAAAGUAAAACUUAUUUGCUCAUGCUACUCUUUUUCUACAUGAUUAACUGGUGGUUUGCUGUGGUAGAGAGACAGAGGAGAUGCGUGGCUCGCCGGCAGGUGACGACUAUGUACAACACAGCUCUUGCCAACGACCAGCGACGCCUCCAUGCUAUUUUCCCUGUUGCCCCACUCGGGCUUCCCUGCCGCUUGGAUAGAGAGGUUGAUGGCCCUCACCUCCAUCAGCAACUCCUAUGUUCGCUCACUGUCCAUGCCGACUGUAGCAAGGAGUGGGCUAGAGUAGGGUGUGGACGUGGACAAUGAUGCAAAAGGGGAGGAGUGGAAUGACCUGGACAGUCCCGAUGAGGAAUUUGUUCAACCCCAUCUUGAGCUUGAGGGAGACGUCGAUGACGCUAUGCAAAAGGUCCUUUUUUUACUGUUCUGCCUUGACAUGGUCCAGUCAUCCAUCGGGUAUCUAGGAUUGCUCAAACUUGGACAUUCCUACUGAGGAAGGGCCGGUAUGAACACCGGUUGCCAGAACGCGGCCUCUACUACGAGCUACAAGGCCAGAGAUAGUACCAGCGGGGGCCGCGACUUCCGGGAGCUUCUCUUUAUGUUCUCGGUCUUGUCAUCUAUUGGAGCAGCAGGGCUUGUUGGAGCAAUGGGAUUCAGAGUAAGAUCAACUGCCACUUCUUAGUCUGAAUGAUACUUGUAGAGCAACAUUAUCUUGAGCAUCCUGCUCCUGCCCGAGCUUACCUCUCACCCAGACCAAGGGCUGAGAGGCGUGUGACCGACCCAAGGCUGAUGUUGUCUGCCUUCGUCGAUAGUAACUGGCUUUUACAUGCACAUCUGUGUAGAAAGUAGGCGAGAAGAUCGGAGCUCGGGUACAUGUGUUUGAGGUUCUUCCGCGGUCGUUCGCAUCGGCCAAGGCGACGGGGGCGAUAAGGACCGAGUUCCAGGGCGGCGCCCCUCGUCUUGCCUUCCUCUCUUUGAGCUUCCCUCUGACUGGCAGGAUCUCACUUUCUCCCAGGCGCAAGUCGAACUCGUGCCCUAGUGAUGGAAGUUCAUACAGGCAGCAACAUUUUGUAAAGAAGGUGUCUUGUAAAGAAGUGGUUAUUGGAGCCCUACAUGGCCCAUCCUCGUGUGGCUCCGAACGCUUGGUCUAUCGCCAACUGGCUCGGGCAGCGCGGCUUGCACCCUGAAUGUAAAGAAGAAAAGACCCAUACCUGAAGUAAUUAAUUUGUCCUUGUGCUCGCCCUUGAAAGCACAUUGUCUCCCCAGGCCUGCUGCUGCUCUGACCUACAGUAGAGCUGAUGCUCCAAAUGCCUCCUUGUGUCCGAAACUCAUGUUGUUGUUCCAGUGGUGGCGUUGGUGCCCACCGUUGGUGUUCCGGUGGGGGGUGCCCUCAGGUGUCGUCAUGGUGGUGGUGUCAACCGGAGCUGCUGCUGACGACCACAGGAGCUCCUGUUGGUGCUGCCGGUGUCCAGUACAAGCUACUGCCCCUGUCUUCUUUGACCUGGACGUCUCCUAUAUCACAAUGCCCCCUCGGAAGCCUCUUGAGUUUCAUCAUCUGGGUCUAAUAUAUUCAAGGUGGUGAUGCAUGAAGCCAGUGCUUCAUGUGAAUAGAAGAUAGUAGCCCCAGUGGUGGACGUUCAUACACAUUCAUAAGGUGUAUCGUAAAGUUGUCAUUGGAGCCCUGAACAUCAAUCCCUCGUGUGACUCUGCAUGCAUGGUCUAUCACCGACUAUAUCGGGUGGUGUGGCUUUCCUCUGGUGACCUAAUCCGGCGGCCUAUGUAGUAUUGUUUCAGUUGCUGUUUUACUAAGUAGUGGAAUCGUCCAAAUAAACAGGUGUAAUUGUAUCUAUGUGUAUUUAUUUAUUCUCAACUUGGAUUUGCCGUCUUGAGUAGAAUCAUAUAUAUAGUAAAAGAGUUGUGCAUUAUGCAUUUAGU